CUGACUUUCAGGUCAAGAUAUUUUGGACAUCUCUUGUUAACAGGCUGAUAUGGAAAUCAGAGCAAUUCUAACUGUGAUGGUUUCACUCCUUUGUCAUAUCACACCAAUCCUAUCUGAUGUGAAUAAAGAGAAUAUUUCAGAAGGGUGCAUUUCUAUGCUGCACACCCAAAUGAAC